UACGGGGGGGGCAAGCGUUGUUCGGAAUUACUGGGCGUAAAGGGCUCGUAGGUGGCCAACUAAGUCGGACGUGAAAUCCCUCGGCUUAACCGGGGAACUGCGUCCGAUACUGGUUGGCUUGAGUUUGGGAGAGGGAUGCGGAAUUCCAGGUGUAGCGGUGAAAUGCGUAGAUAUCUGGAGGAACACCUGAGGCGAAGGCGGGCUACUGGGCCGAUACUGACGCUGAUGCGCGAAAGCCAGGGGAGCAAACGGG
rnacentral:rRNA from 1 species